rnacentral:rRNA from 1 species
CCUAAGGUAGCGAAAUUCCUUGUCGGGUAAGUUCCGACCCGCACGAAAGGCGUAAUGAUUUGAGCACUGUCUCGACAAUGCAUCCGGUGAAAUUGAAGUACCAGUGAAGAUGCUGGUUACCCGCGCCAGGACGGAAAGACCCCAUGGAGCUUUACUCCAGUUUGAUACUGGGAUUCGGUACUGCAUGUACAGGAUAGGUGGGAGACGGAGAAGGAUGGACGCCAGUCUGUCCGGAGUCGCUGUUGGGAUACCACCCCUGUAGUACUGGGUUUCUAACCAGUUGCCAUGAACUGGCAAUGGGACAAUGUCAGGCGGGGAGUUUGACUGGGGCGGUCGCCUCCGAAAGGGUAUCGGAGGCGCUCAAAGGUUCCCUCAGAAUGGUUGGAAACCAUUUGAAGAGUGCAAAGGCAGAAGGGAGCUUGACUGCGACACCGACGGGUGGAGCAGGUACGAAAGUAGGACUUAGUGAUCCGGUGGUAUAAAGUGGGAUUGCCAUCGCUCAACGGAUAAAAGCUACCCUGGGGAUAACAGGCUUAUCACUCCCAAGAGUUCACAUCGACGGAGUGGUUUGGCACCUCGAUGUCGGCUCAUCGCAUCCUGGGGCUGUAGUAGGUCCCAAGGGUUGGGCUGUUCGCCCAUUAAAGCGGUACGCGAGCUGGGUUCAGAACGUCGUGAGACAGUUCGGUCCCUAUCCGGCGCGGGCGGAGGAUAUUUGAGAGGAGCUGUCCUUAGUACGAGAGGACCGGGAUGGACGGACCACUGGUGUAUCUGUUGUCGACCAACGGCAUGGCAGAGUAGCCAAGUCUGGAAGGGAUAAACGCUGAAGGCAUCUAAGCGUGAAGCCCCCCUCAAGAUGAGAUAUCCCUCCUUCGGGAGUAAGACCCCUUGAAGACUACAAGGUAGAUAGGGCAGAGGUGGAAGCAUGGCAACAUGUGGAGCUGACUGUUACUAAUAGGUCGAGGGCUUAAUCUG